UCCAUAUCAUGCAUCCAAUAUUUUCAACUCUUGCAAAGGCAUUACAUGAACAGUUGCUUAAACACCUGUUCUGACAAUCCUCAAAGAGGUCCCCAUAGACAACAGCAAAAUCUGGCAAUUUAUUGCAUUUUAACUCUUUAAAACCAUCUUCCCCUGCUGUACUGAUAUUCUUCAGGCACUGCAAUUCUGUCCUUCUUACACACCCACCUGACCAAUUCCCCUUUGCCCAUUGCUCUUGAUUCCUUGGAACAAACCCUUC
rnacentral:misc_RNA from 1 species